UGCAAGUCGAGCGGAACGAGUUAUCUGAACCUUCGGGGAACGAUAACGGCGUCGAGCGGCGGACGGGUGAGUAAUGCCUGGGAAAUUGCCCUGAUGUGGGGGAUAACUAUUGGAAACGAUAGCUAAUACCGCAUAAUGUCUACGGACCAAAGAGGGGGACCUUCGGGCCUCUCGCUUCAGGAUAUGCCCAGGUGGGAUUAGCUAGUUGGUGAGGUAAUGGCUCACCAAGGCGACGAUCCCUAGCUGGUCUGAGAGGAUGAUCAGCCACACUGGAACUGAGACACGGUCCAGACUCCUACGGGAGGCAGCAGUGGGGAAUAUUGCACAAUGGGCGCAAGCCUGAUGCAGCCAUGCCGCGUGUAUGAAGAAGGCCUUCGGGUUGUAAAGUACUUUCAGUCGUGAGGAAGGC
rnacentral:rRNA from 1 species